UACGAAGGGUGCAAACGUUGCUCGGAAUUAUUGGGCGUAAAGCGCACGUAGGCGGCUUAGCAAGUCGGAUGUGAAAUCCCUCGGCUCAACCAAGGAAGUGCAUCCGAAACUGCUGAGCUUGAGUACGAAAGAGGAUCGCGGAAUUCCCGGUGUAGAGGUGAAAUUCGUAGAUAUCGGGAGGAACACCAGUGGCGAAGGCGGCGAUCUGGGUCGAUACUGACGC
rnacentral:rRNA from 1 species